UUCUGGCUCAGGAUGAACGCUGGCGGCGUGCCUAAUACGAUGCAAGUCGAACGGGAAGUUAGCAAUAGCUUCUAGUGGCGAACGGGUGAGUAACGCGGUGGGUGACCUGCCCCGAAGUGAGGGAUACCAGCUCGAAAGGGCUGCUAAUACCGCGAUGCGGUUUCUGGGAUUAGAAGCCGGAAACGAAAGCAGCGAUGCGCUUUGGGAGGGGCCUGCGUCCCAUCAGCUGGUUGGUAAGGUAACGGCUUACCAAGGCGACGACGGUAGGGGACCUGAGAGGGUGAUCCCCCACAUUGGCACUGAAACACGGGCCAAACACCUACGGGUGGCAGCAGUAGGGAAUCUUGCACAAUGGGCGCAAGCCUGAUGCAAGCAACGCCGCGUGCGCGAUGAAGGCCUUCGGGUCGUAAAGCGCUUUUCUGGAGGACGAGCAAGGACGGUACUCCAGGAAUAAGGCUCGGCUAACUACGUGCCAGCAGCCGC
rnacentral:rRNA from 1 species